rnacentral:rRNA from 1 species
CGGAGAGGGCGCAUGAGAAACGGCUACCACUUCUAAGGAAGGCAGCUGGCGCGCAAAUUACCCAAUCCUGACUCAGGGAGGUAGUGACAAGAAAUAACAAUAAACCGGCUUAUGCCGGUUUAAUUGGAAUGAGUACAAUUUAAACAUCUUAACGAGGAACAAUUGGAGGGCAAGUCUGGUGCCAGCAGCCGCGGUAAUUCCAGCUCCAAUAGCGUAUACUAAUGUUGUUGCAGUUAAAAAGCUCGUAGUUGGAUUUCUGCGGGGACGGAGCGGCCGGACGCAACUUGCGUCUCGAGCUAGCGCUUUCCCCACAUCCUGCCGCGAACCGUGCUACCAUUAGUUUGGUGGCGCUGGGGAUCGGCUCGAUUACUUUGAGAAAAAUAGAGUGUUCAAAGCAGGCCACACGCCCUGAAUAAGUUAGCAUGGAAUAAUGACUAAGGACUUUGGUUCUUUUCGUUGGUGUUCGGGACUGAAGUAAUGAUUGAUAGGGACAGUUGGGGCGGUCCGUAUUCCAAAGCGAGAGGUGAAAUUCUUAGACCUUCGGAAGACGAACAGCUGCGAAAGCGUUCCGCAAGGAUGUUCCCUUUGAUCAAGAACGAGAGUUGGGGGAUCGAAGACGAUCAGAUACCGUCGUAGUCUCAACUAUAAACUAUACCAGCUAGGGAUCGGCCAACGUUUAAUUAUUCGACUUGGUCGGCACCUUAUGAGAAAUCAAAGCAUCUGGGUUCCGGGGGGAGUAUGGUCGCAAGGCUGAAACUUAAAGGAAUUGACGGAAGGGCACCACCAGGCGUGGAGCCUGUGGCUUAAUUUGACUCAACACGGGAAAACUCACCAGGUCCAGACAUAGGAAGGAUUGACAGAUUGAUAGCUCUUUCUUGAUUCUGUGGGUGGUGGUGCAUGGCCGUUUUUAGUCGGCGAAGUGAUUUGUCUGCUUAAUUGCGUUAACGGACGAGACCCCAGCCUGCUAAAUAGCGCGGCCGAGCUUUGCUCGGUGCGAGCUUCUUAGAGGGACCAUGAUGCGCGAUAGCACAAGGAAGUUUGGGGCAACAACAGGUCUGUGAUGCCCUUAGAUGUUCUGGGCCGCACACGGGCUACACUGGCGCCUGCAACGAGCAUAUCAGCUGGCCCGAGAGGGUCUUGGCUAAUCUUUGGAACCGGCGCCGUGCUUGGGAUUGACCAUUGCAAUUGUUGGUCAUGCAACGAGGAAUGCCUUGUAAACGCGAGUCAUCAGCUCGCAUUGAAUACGUCCCUGCCCUUUGUACAUACCGCCCGUCGCUCCUACCGAUGAAUGUUCCGAUGAAAUUUUCGGAGAGCGCCGGAGAACGGGGCUCUGCCCUGCAGAACUGGAGGCUCAAAGUCACUUAAAUCUGAACAUUUCGAGGAAGGAGAAGUCGUAACAAGGUAACC